AGCUCCAAUAGCGUAUAUUAAAGUUGUUGCGGUUAAAAAGCUCGUAGUUGGAUCUCGGCAGGUAGGGGGCGGUUCGUUUCUGACGGCACUGCCCCAUUUACCUGUGUUUUUGACGGAGGUUUCACGGUGGCUUUAACCAGCUGUCGUGGCACGCCGUCAGGUUUACUUUGAAAAAAUUAGAGUGCUCAAAGCAGGCUACAAGCUUGAAUACUUGUGCAUGGAAUAAUGGAAUAGGAAGUCGUUUCUAUUUUUUUUGGUUUUCGGAAAUUGACUUAAUGAUUAAUAGGGACAGCCGGGGGCAUUAGUAUUCAGACGACAGAGGUGAAAUUCUUGGACCGUUUGAAGACUAACUACUGCGAAAGCAUUUGCCAAGAGUGUUUUCA
rnacentral:rRNA from 1 species